rnacentral:rRNA from 1 species
UACAGAGGGUGCAAGCGUUAAUCGGAAUUACUGGGCGUAAAGGGUGCGUAGGUGGUUUGAUAAGUUAGGUGUGAAAGCCCCGGGCUUAACCUGGGAACUGCGCCUAAUACUGUUUAACUAGAGUACUGUAGAGGAAGGUGGAAUUUCCGGUGUAGCGGUGAAAUGCGUAGAUAUCGGAAGGAACAUCAGUGGCGAAGGCGACUUUCUGGACAGAUACUGACACUGAGGCACGAAAGCAUGGGGAGCAAACAGG